GGGGAAUAUUGGACAAUGGGGGCAACCCUGAUCCAGCGACGCCGCGUGGGUGAAGAAGGCCUGCGGGUUGUAACGCCCUUUCGGUGGGGAAGAAAAGUCUCGGCCUAAUACGCUGGGACCUUGACGUAACCCACUAAAGAAGCACCGGCGAACUCUGUGCCAGCAGCCGCGGUAAUACGUAGGCAGCGAGCGUUGUUCGGAGUUACUGGGCGUAAAGCGUGCGUAGGCGGUAGUCCAAGUCUGGUGUGAAAUCUCCCGGCUUAACCGGGAGGGUGCGCUAGAAACUGGGCUGCUGGAGUGCGGGAGAGGUAAGCGGAAUUCCUGGUGUAGCGGUGAAAUGCGUAGAUAUCAGGAGGAACACCCGUGGUGUAGACGGCUUACUGGACCGUAACUGACGCUGAGGCACGAAAGCGUGGGUAGCAA
rnacentral:rRNA from 1 species